GCUGGGGACCCCCAGGACCACCCUGGUCCUUCAACUGCGUCGGAUGACUGGAGGGACAAGCCGGUUGAAAGGGAGGUGGAAGACGAACAGCCAAGAAGAGAUGGAUGGGUAGAAGAGGACAGCAGCCCUCAUUUUCCUGCGAGGAGACGCUGAGCCAGCACGGGACUUCUUGAAAAGAAGCUACUGUCCUCCGCUGGGAGUGGAGUGUUGAGGCUGCUGUUGGCCAAACAAAGGCGGCACACCAAGAGGCCUGAACUGGUAUAAAAAGAAAGGAGAGGACUUCUAAGGUAGAAGAAGCGAGAGGAAAGAGGCUGAAGAAGUCAAGAAAUGAAGGGGUGAACAUUUUUCUGAACUGGAUCACCUGCGCCUGAACCUGCAGAGUCAUGAUAGGCCUCCAUCCUCUUUCUGUGUAUGCAGGGAGACAGACUGGGUGUGUGUCAGGCAGGUCAGGUGGCGUAUGCAGGUGUGUCCGACUCAUGUAGUUACGAUGCCGCUGUGAUCUAACCCGUCUCUCCUGGAUCCGCUGUUCGCCUGGCGGGCCGCUGGCCACGGCCCCAUUAACGGGAGUCAUCA